UGAAACAUUUUUUUUCUAAACACCACUUAAAGUGAAACCGAGAGUAACAUUUUGAAAGGGAUGGAAUAUUUACAAAGGGAUUUCUGACAUCUAUGUUCAACACAUUUUUUAAAACUUCUCAAACACGGGUGAAAGCGAAAAAGAAAAAGCUCCCCCAUGAAGAUAAACCACCGCCCCCUUCUUUCUCCUCCGGCCUGGUUAUCGCUGUCACUGGUGCCGAAGUUAUUUGUUCUUCUUGUUUCUAUUUCCUUUGCUCUCCUCUCUCCUUCCUCUCUUAUUUGAUAUGCUCGGCACCCUGGAGGAGGUUUCUCAGAUCUGUUUUUCCGAUCCGGUAACUUUGAAUCUGGUGUGAUGGCGAGACGAAAGGGGUGAAGGCAGUAGAGUAGGGUCCGCUUUUAGGGUAUCUAGGGGUUGUAUAUGUGAUAUUUUGCUCCUCUGUAGAAAUCCAAUCCCUUUAAGGAGGUAGCGUGUGGGGACCAGACGAGUCUCCUCCUAGUCGGAUCUAGAAAAGGGCUUUGGUUCUUCUCAAUCUAAGGGUCCGUUGUUGGAGUGGGCUUUGGCUAAGGGCAGAUCCUUGUCUCGGCGAGUUGACUACGGUGAAGCUCUUAGUCGAAGCCAAGGUCAUGUUCAUCGGGAUUUUCUCGGUGACACACGUGCGGAGAGGCUUUUGGUUUUCGUGUGUUAACAAAUUUCUUCCGGCUAAGACGUGUGCAUCAAGGUUUGCAGUGCCAUGUAGGGUCGUCUAUGGCUCCGGCGGUGGUGUGUCUAGCGUUUUCUCUUCUUUAGAAAGUUGGUCUCAUGGCUUCUUCGCGUCGUAGCUUUCUCGGGAGAUAGUGAUGGUGUUUCUUUGGGACGUUUUAUCAGUCUACGGUCUUCUCUGUUGUGGUGGGUCUCCGUUGCUAAACGGAUUUUUGCUUCGGUGGAGCAAUAUAGAGCCGUCCUUUAGUUCUUAAAGGCGGAACGCAAGAAAGAGAUAGCGGAUCUGGUGUGGUCUACCUGAGUCGUUUUUUUUCUCUUGGUGGUGGCAUGUUUCAAUUUCAUGGCCUUCCAGUUGCUAAAAGGCGGUAAAUCUGGGUCCGUAUUUGGCAGGCUGUGCUUUGUCUCUUGUUGUGCAGGUAAUUGAUUCUCGAUCGAUGUGGCGGCUUCCUCCGCUACCCCGAUUUUAUUUUGGUUCUUAGAGAAAUGCUCUUCUCGUCUUGUCUUUUUACAUUUUAGAUACUUAUUCUUUUGGAUUACUGCAAUUUGGUUCACUAUUUUCUAAUUAUACAAUAUCUAAUCAUUCUCACACUAACCAUCAUCAUUUGAAGUUUGAUAAUCUAUUUUAAUCUAUUUUAUUGUUCAAAAAAUAACAAAACGAAUAAAGAAAUAAGUAAAAAAUAGAAAUAUAUUUUAAAUAUUUAAUUUAUGCACAGCUAAAAAUAACAUAAAUUUUUGCUAUUUUAUUAUUUUUUAAUAUUUUCUAUUAUUUCAUUUACAACUAUACAUUUAUCUUAAUAUUAACCAAACUAAAGGAGAACACAUAAUCUAAACACAAAACCUCCAUGAUCACAGAGAAAAAAAUGCCAAAGUAACACUAACUCAAUAAAGGUCCAGAGCACAAAGGCGAUCAAGAACGAAAACUAACUUACCCCACUUUAUUAUAGAUUGUCUUGGCCAGAACAAUAAAAAAUCAGUAAAAUGUAGAAAGAUAAUCUUGAGAUAAAGAAAUCCCUCAAACACAAAUGAGCGUGAUCAAUGACCAAUGUAAAGAACCAAAAAAGCAGGAUAGAGGAAGAAUAAUCAACAGAAGGCCAAAAUCACCACGAAGCAGGAAGAGACAUACAUAAGGAAUGAUAAGCACAACCAACAGAUAAGAGGUAAGAAACACUCCACAAACUAAACAAGCACAAACAAGACGCCUAUGCCGGUGAAGAACCACAAAGCUCUGGAUAGAAGGGACCAAAGCUCCAAGAGACUAAUACCGCACACUUAUACUAAGGGAAGCAAGAGAAGAAGAGAACAACAUGAGUGAGGGAGAACGGAAGCCAACCUCCGAGAAACAUGAGCCUAGACUUGAGACCAGAAACAAUCUUCCAAAUCUACAGAGCAUACUCGGAGGAGAACACUAUCCAAACCUAGAGUGGCAAAGAUAGCGAAAGGGAGAGUCACAGAAAUGCAAGCAGCGGUGAAAGCUGCAACGGAUGAGGGGACAUAGAUGGAAGGGUAGACAAAACUAAAUCAUCAAAUCGUAGAGCCGUCCUCGAGCUAUAGAAUUCAUAUCACCAAAACCCAUAUCUUGAAAACCAAGACAAGAAGGGAGUAUCGAUGGUAAGCCAACGACAAGAAAACCAACUUCAAAGACGACUAAACUCUGACCCAACCCAAAGAGAUGCAGUUCCUAACAUCAGCUGAAAUCUAAGGAAGAAGAGGAGCAUCCAAUAUCGAAUGGAGCAGCCUAAAAUGACGCGAGAAACAACCGCACAACUGGGAACUCCUAAACCCGAUCUACAACAAAUACAAGAAAUCUCAAGGUGAAGAAGGCGAUAAAGAAAAAGAGGAGGAGGUGAGUCUUUUUCGGUGAUGAUGAGAAACACUGCAUACCAGAAAGGUAAACAAAAUACAUAGAUGUUGAAGGUUCAAUGUCAAAAUAUGGGAAAAAGGCAAAAACAUCUUGAAAGUUAUAAUGUUCAAAAAUAUAAAAAUAAAUAAAAGACAAUUUUGACGCUGAAACCGUUAAUCUUAGAAUCAACAAAUGCAUAAAUGCAAAGUUAUUGAAAUUCAAUAUAGUUUUUACAAUAGAGACUCACUUCACUACUAACAAAUAAUAUACAGGCAAACCAAAUUAUUGAAAAAACAAAGAUAAAAUAUAUUAACAUAUUACUAUUACUACUACAUAACACAAUAAAAACACCAAAUACCAGUUCUUAACAAAUAAAAGUGAUCACAUAAUUACAUUAUCCAAAAAAUCAUACUUUUAACAACAAUAAAAUAAUAUUGUGCGCGAAGCGCAGACACCCCCUUAGUAUGGUAUAAAUAUAACAUUUAAACUAAAAACAAAAAUUUAUGUUCAACACGUUUAGAUACGGCUUGACCUUUUGAAGAUACGCGUCCACGAGGGUGAAAGAUUUUAUAAUGUUCUUAAGGGCAAUUCUUUCGGAUAACACUAAAAUAGUUUUUUUACCAAAAAAUCACAACAAAGAAAAUGACCAAAAAAGUUUUAUUAAAGAGCCAAAAGAUACUUGUACCCUUAUUUUAUAGAUAUAUAAAAUAGUUGUAAAUAAAAUAAAUAAAUAUAAAAAAUUAUUUAAAUAAAUAAAAAUUUAUAUUUUUAUAUUUUUCGAAUUAUACAUUAUUGAAUUCAAAAUUUUAUAAAAAAAUCAAAAAAUAAUUUUUAAAGUUUUGUAAGAAAUUUUGUUUUGAUGAAAUUAAUAAAAUUCUUUUUAAACUAUUUUAAAAUUUUAUUUUAAAUUUUAAGCAUUUACAUUUUUUAAAACAAAAUUCUAAAGCACAUCCCCAAAGUUCAACCCUCAAAUCUAAACCUUAAGUAUAAAUUAGCUAAACAUAAAGGUAUAAAUGUUUAUUUACCUGUUUGAACAAACAUUUUGGUCAUUUAACCAUUAGGGGCUAUACUUGUAAUAAAAAAAAUUAGGGUUUAGAAAUAUCUCUAUUCUUAUUCAAUUUAUGGCUUGAUUGGCAGAGCAUUAAGAUAAACAUUAUGCUGUUUAUUGUCCAAUCAAUAAUUUUUUGAAAAGCAUUCAGAAUAGCAUUUAGAUGAUGCAAAUGCUCUCCAAAUACUUUCUACCAAAUUUGGGGUACCCAGAUCCGGAUCCGUCGGAUCUGUGAAUUUAAUAUCCGGAUCCGGAUUCGUGGUUUCCGGAUAUAUGGAUUUCGGAUAUCCGUCCCGAUAUUCUAUUACCCGCAGAUAUCCGGAUCCAGAUCAAAUAUUUAUAAAUAUAUUUAUAUAUCUCUAUAAUAUUGUAAAAACUAAAAUAUAAUAUUAUAAGAUUAGUGCAUGUAUAAAUAUUAAUAUAUUAAAUAUAAUAUUAAUAAAAUUUAAAAAUUUAAUGUGUUUUAAAAAUACGGAUCUGGAUCCGGAUAUUUGAACCUAAAAAUUAAAAUAUCCGGAUUUGGAUUGGAAGGAUUCCAGAUUUUACUAUCCGGAUUCGGAUCCGGGCACCCCGGAUAUCCUAUUUUCGGAGCAGAUCCAGAGCAGAUCUCAGAUCGAAUUCGGAUCUCGGAUAAUAAGUUCCAGGCCUAUUUGUCUUUAUAUACGUUUGUACAUUCACUCAAUCAAUCAAGGAAAUAUACAGGCUUUCGCUCAGAGUAUUCGAGAUGAAUGCUAGUUUACUUUUUUGUUGAAGACAACGGAUAUUACUCAACUCUGCCUUGAAUUUGGAUGUCUGAUUGACAAUGCCUGAAAUUUAAUUUAAAAGGCUUUACAAAUAAACAGUAAAACACAACUCUUGUAUCUCUGUUAACUUGUAAUGUUACUGUAGUAAAAUCAAUACAACUAAUUAGCUAGCGAUGGCAACAAAGUAGUCAUUUUAAAUGAUACUCCUAAUAUUUGAUAGUAACAACUUAUUACAAAGCAUGUUACAAUAACAUUUGUUCUUGUCUCAAAGUUUUUCGUUUUUGUAGGCUGAUGACUCUUUGAAAAGUAUUGAUCUUUCUCUAACCGUAACUUCUGCAUUCUUGAGGCACCUUUGGAUAUCGCUUUCUGUCCAAGCAAUAGUCGUAAUCCAGGUAAACCUUCCUUGCAUUCAUAUACAGUUUCCUCUCUUUAGAGCUUAGCUCCCAAUUCUCUUUACGGUUCCACCAGUAUUCAAGACUAAAGCAUUUAUCUAUGCUCAUAAACUCAGUCGCACACCCAUCGAUCUUUGAUGCCUGGAACUUAGCAGUGCAAGACAUCUCCAUAGGGUCAACCAUUGUUCCGUUUUCCACACUGCCAUGCAUGAACAUCGUCUGCACCGAUGGGUAGUAAAUGUCUGGAUUCUUCUUGUACACCCGG
rnacentral:lncRNA from 1 species